rnacentral:rRNA from 2 species
AGAGUUUGAUCCUGGCUCAGGAUGAACGCUGGCGGCGUGCCUAAUACAUGCAAGUCGAGCGAACGGACGAGAAGCUUGCUUCUCUGAUGUUAGCGGCGGACGGGUGAGUAACACGUGGAUAACCUACCUAUAAGACUGGGAUAACUUCGGGAAACCGGAGCUAAUACCGGAUAAUAUUUUGAACCGCAUGGUUCAAAAGUGAAAGACGGUCUUGCUGUCACUUAUAGAUGGAUCCGCGCUGCAUUAGCUAGUUGGUAAGGUAACGGCUUACCAAGGCAACGAUGCAUAGCCGACCUGAGAGGGUGAUCGGCCACACUGGAACUGAGACACGGUCCAGACUCCUACGGGAGGCAGCAGUAGGGAAUCUUCCGCAAUGGGCGAAAGCCUGACGGAGCAACGCCGCGUGAGUGAUGAAGGUCUUCGGAUCGUAAAACUCUGUUAUUAGGGAAGAACAUAUGUGUAAGUAACUGUGCACAUCUUGACGGUACCUAAUCAGAAAGCCACGGCUAACUACGUGCCAGCAGCCGCGGUAAUACGUAGGUGGCAAGCGUUAUCCGGAAUUAUUGGGCGUAAAGCGCGCGUAGGCGGUUUUUUAAGUCUGAUGUGAAAGCCCACGGCUCAACCGUGGAGGGUCAUUGGAAACUGGAAAACUUGAGUGCAGAAGAGGAAAGUGGAAUUCCAUGUGUAGCGGUGAAAUGCGCAGAGAUAUGGAGGAACACCAGUGGCGAAGGCGACUUUCUGGUCUGUAACUGACGCUGAUGUGCGAAAGCGUGGGGAUCAAACAGGAUUAGAUACCCUGGUAGUCCACGCCGUAAACGAUGAGUGCUAAGUGUUAGGGGGUUUCCGCCCCUUAGUGCUGCAGCUAACGCAUUAAGCACUCCGCCUGGGGAGUACGACCGCAAGGUUGAAACUCAAAGGAAUUGACGGGGACCCGCACAAGCGGUGGAGCAUGUGGUUUAAUUCGAAGCAACGCGAAGAACCUUACCAAAUCUUGACAUCCUUUGACAACUCUAGAGAUAGAGCCUUCCUCUUCGGGGGACAAAGUGACAGGUGGUGCAUGGUUGUCGUCAGCUCGUGUCGUGAGAUGUUGGGUUAAGUCCCGCAACGAGCGCAACCCUUAAGCUUAGUUGCCAUCAUUAAGUUGGGCACUCUAAGUUGACUGCCGGUGACAAACCGGAGGAAGGUGGGGAUGACGUCAAAUCAUCAUGCCCCUUAUGAUUUGGGCUACACACGUGCUACAAUGGACAAUACAAAGGGCAGCGAAACCGCGAGGUCAAGCAAAUCCCAUAAAGUUGUUCUCAGUUCGGAUUGUAGUCUGCAACUCGACUACAUGAAGCUGGAAUCGCUAGUAAUCGUAGAUCAGCAUGCUACGGUGAAUACGUUCCCGGGUCUUGUACACACCGCCCGUCACACCACGAGAGUUUGUAACACCCGAAGCCGGUGGAGUAACCUUUUAAGAGCUAGCCGUCGAAGGUGGGACAAAUGAUUGGGGUGAAGUCGUAACAAGGUAGCCGUAUCGGAAGGUGCGGCUGGAUCACCU